GCCCGUGCGUCCGUGGCACGGAACGGCCGUUAGUCCCGGCAGAGGGCUCCGCGAAGACAGUGCCGUCGUUGGGCGCGCGCGCGGGCGGGAGCUGUCGGGGCGGGGCGGCACCGCCGAGCUCCGAGCUGUGAGGACCGCCCCGGGCCUUGGGCGGGGCGGGGGCCAGGGAAGGGCGUGCGCAGGAUUGGGGAGCACGUUUUGCGUCUUGCUGUGCGUGAGGAAGCGGGGAUCCAGGUCAAGGCUAUGGAAAGGUCAGGGAAGGGUGUCAGUGCGCCCGUCCUGCAGGGAGUCCAGAUCCGAGAGUUCCAGAAGCAAAAACAAAAAAAGUUCGGGUACAGCGGCUCACACCUGUAAUCCCAGCUCUUAGGGAGAUGGAAACUGGAGGAUCACUUGAGGCCAGGAGUUCAAGACCAGCCUGGGCAACAUAGCAAGACCCAGUCUCUUAAAAGAAAAUUAAAAAGAAAGAGUAAAUAAAGUUCCAGAAGCUUUGCUCUCCUUAUCCAAGCAGCGUUUGUACUUUGGCACUGGAAAGUGCGGGAGUCAGGGGUUUGUGAGAGCACGUGUUGGUUGUCGCAUUGGUCAGGAUGCACCCAUCACUCUGUAUCCUCCGGCUAAGGAGUGCUGGAGAGCCGUGAUGCCCACUGGCUGUUGUCCCGGGCUUGUCACUCAAAGACGGGACAGAUGUCUCCUUCCAGUUCUGGCCCAGACUGUCCUCUGAGCUGGGAGCACAGGGCUCCUCCCUGAGUAGAUGACCUGUCAGGUCAGCUGGAUCCAGAGGUCCCACAACCUCUCAAGGCAGAGCUGGCAGCUGUCCAGAAGGCAGCAGCCAUGAUAACAAACGUGGUUGGCCCAGGCCCAGACCUGCCCCCUGGCAACAGAGAACAGCAGGACUGGCUUUGACAUUGUUUUAGGGAGCCAGGCACCCUUCCCAGUCAGGGCAGAAGCCCCCUGGAGAGCUGGGCUCCUGACCUCACCGGCCUCCACCUCCUGAAGGCUCUGGCCAAAUCCACAUGUGACCUCAGGAAGGGAACACCCUCAGGAGUCCAAAGCCCCUGUUCCCCUGCUCGGUUGGCCACAGUCACUCUCCUGCCUCGGGGUUGUGUCUGUAGCAGGCUCUCUUGGGCAGCAGGGGUCAGGAGCACGGAGGGCAGACCCAAGACGGACCAGGCAUCUCUGGGGAGGCGACAUCCCCUCCCACCGGCAGCCCAGAGACAGGAGCUCCCCAGCAGUGCCCCUCAAGGCCAGAUUCGCAAGUAGGUGCCCGUGGAGCAAACAGAGAAAAGCGGGAACACGCGCUCCUGGAAGUUGACGCGGAAGGUGUAGAGGUGGCGCAUGUCCUCCACAGCGUAGAAGGACACGGCUCCCACCUCCAGGUCCAGGGCCACCCGCACGCGCGACAGGUGCCCGCAGCUGAGGGGCGACCGCUCGGGGCUGGUCACGGCCCAGUACUGGCCGCCGUUGAGCUGCAGGGCCCAGACGCCCUCCUCGGGAGUGAAGGGCGUCAGGCCCUUUCGGCGCACGCUCUCGCGGGCCACGCCAAAGGCCCAGCCGUCCUUAGAGCCCACCUCCACCUCCCAGUGAUGCCGGCCCGAGGAGAAGCCGCAGGACGCCAGGACGCGGGUGUUGGUGUCGAAGCGGCAGGGGUGGUUGGGCAGGUCCUGGGCCCGCUCGCCGAGGCGCACGCCCUUAAGAUCCAGAGAGAGGAUGAGGCGCGGGUUGGCCGUGUCGGGAUCCAAGGUGAGCUCCACUGCAGACAGAGACAGGGAGAAAUGUCCCCACGCAGCCAGGCCCCUGGCACAGUCUUUGCAGGGCCGCGCCCGACCUUGCUUUGCAACCUGCCUGCCUUUCCCUCUAGAAUCCCCCCAGCACCCAGCGCCAAGGCCCAACCAACCCCCACGCUCUGCCUCCCAGAGAUUUUGCUUCCCCCCGCCCCGACCACUCAACAAGUACUUACUGAAAUCAAACAAAUGCAAUGUGUGGGCCUGGUUUGAACCCCAAUUCAACAGAUGGGGAUAUUUGAAUGCUAGACAUUGGAAAGAAUCAUUAAUCUGUCCAGGUGUGAGGACUGCUUUGUGGUUAUGUUUUACAAAGUCUGUUUCUUUAGAGAUAACACACUGAGGUAUUUAUGGCAAUGAUAUGUUGUCUCUGAUGCUUUAAAAUAAUACAGUAGGCCAGGCGCAGUGGCUCACGCCAGUAAUUCCAGCACUUUGGGAGGCCAAGGUGUGUGGAUCACGAGGUCGGGAAAUCAAGAACAUCCUGGCUAACAUGGUGAAACCCCGUCUCUACUAAAAAUAAAAAAAUAAAAUAAAUUAGCCGGGCGUGGUGGCGGGCGCCUGUAGUCCCAGCUACUCGGGAGGCUGAGGCAGGAGAAUGGCAUGAACCCGGGAGGUGGAGAUUGCAGUGAGCUGAGAUCACGCCACUGCACUCCAGCCUGGGCGACAGAGCAAGACUCUGUCUCAAAAAUAAAAAUAAUAAUAACAAUAAUACAGUGGAGGCCGGGUGAGAUGGUGCACAGCUGCGAUACCAGCACUUUGGGAGGCCAAGGCCAAUGGGUCACAUGAGGUCAGAAGUUUGGGACCAGCUUGGGCAACAUGGCGGAAAACUUGUUUUGUAUUUUCUCUACUAAAAAUACAAAAAUUAGCCCGGCAUGGUGUCCUGUGCCUGUAAUUCCAGCUGUUUGGGAGGCUGAGGCAUGAGAAUCGCUUGAACCCAGGAGGCAGAGGUUGCAGUGAGCAGAGAUCAGGCCACUGUACUCCAUGAUCUCACUCCAGAGUAAGACCCUGUCUCAGAAAACAAAAUAAUCCCACAGGAAGUGGAUAGCAGUGUCUAUGAAAACUGUGGCCACUAAUUGAUCACUGCGGACGGUGAGAGAUGGGUAUGUAACAUUCUUUACACUCUUCUCUCUACUUUUGAGUAUGUUUGAAAUUUUUCAUAAUAAAAAGUUAAGGCCA
rnacentral:lncRNA from 1 species